AUUGAACGCUGGCGGCAUGCCUUACACAUGCAAGUCGAACGGCAGCACGGGUGCUUGCACCUGGUGGCGAGUGGCGAACGGGUGAGUAAUACAUCGGAACAUGUCCUGUAGUGGGGGAUAGCCCGGCGAAAGCCGGAUUAAUACCGCAUACGAUCCACGGAUGAAAGCGGGGGACCUUCGGGCCUCGCGCUAUAGGGUUGGCCGAUGGCUGAUUAGCUAGUUGGUGGGGUAAAGGCCUACCAAGGCGACGAUCAGUAGCUGGUCUGAGAGGACGACCAGCCACACUGGGACUGAGACACGGCCCAGACUCCUACGGGAGGCAGCAGUGGGGAAUUUUGGACAAUGGGCGAAAGCCUGAUCCAGCAAUGCCGCGUGCGUGAAGAAGGACUUCGGGUUGUAAAGCACUUUUGUCCGGAAAGAAAUCCUUGACUCUAAUACAGUCGGGGGAUGACGGUACCGGAAGAAUAAGCACCGGCUAACUACGUG
rnacentral:rRNA from 1 species